rnacentral:rRNA from 1 species
AUUGAACGCUGGCGGCAGGCCUAACACAUGCAAGUCGAACGAGUGGCGGACGGGUGAGCAAUGUCUGGGCACCUGCCUGAUGGACGGGUCUCACUACGGGAAAAGGUAGCUAAAACCGCAUACCAUCAGAUCUGCCCAGAUGGGAUUAUCUUGUUGGGGGGGUAACGGCUCACCAAGGCGACGAUCCCGAGCUGGUCUGAGAGGAUGACCGGCCACACGGGAACUGAGAAACGGUCCAGACUCCUACGGGAGGCAGCAGGGGGGAAUAUUGGACAAUGGGCGCAAGCCUGAUGCAGCCAUGCCGCGUGUGUGAAGAAGGCCUUCGGGUUGUAAAGUACUUUCAGCGGGGAGGCGUUACCCGCAGAGGAAGCACCGGCUAACUACGUGCCAGCCGCCGCGGUAAUUC